AUUGAACGCUGGCGGCAUGCCUUACACAUGCAAGUCGAACGGCAGCACGGGGCAACCUGGUGGCGAGUGGCGAACCGGUGAGUAAUGCAUCGGAACGUGCCCAGUCGUGGGGGAUAACGCAGCGAAAGCUGCGCUAAUACCGCAUACGAUCUAUGGAUGAAAGUGGGGGACCGUAAGGCCUCGCGCGAUUGGAGCGGCCGAUGUCAGAUUAGGUAGUUGGUGGGGUAAAGGCUCACCAAGCCGACGAUCUGUAGCUGGUCUGAGAGGACGACCAGCCACACUGGGACUGAGACACGGCCCAGACUCCUACGGGAGGCAGCAGUGGGGAAUUUUGGACAAUGGGCGCAAGCCUGAUCCAGCAAUGCCGCGUGCAGGAAGAAGGCCUUCGGGUUGUAAACUGCUCUUGUACGGAACGAAACGGCUCUGGUUAAUACCUGGGGCUAAUGACGGUACCGUAAGAAUAAGCACCGGCUAACUACGUGCCAGCCGCCGCAGUAAUAC
rnacentral:rRNA from 1 species